UGAGGAAUAUUGGUCAAUGGACGGAAGUCUGAACCAGCCAAGUAGCGUGCAGGAUGACGGCCCUAUGGGUUGUAAACUGCUUUUGUAUGGGGAUAAAGUUAGGGACGUGUCCCUAUUUGCAGGUACCAUACGAAUAAGGACCGGCUAAUUCCGUGCCAGCAGCCGCGGUAAUACGGAAGGUCCAGGCGUUAUCCGGAUUUAUUGGGUUUAAAGGGAGCGUAGGCUGGAGAUUAAGUGUGUUGUGAAAUGUAGACGCUCAGCGUCUGAAUUGCAGCGCAUACUGGUUUCCUUGAGUACGCACAACGUUGGCGGAAUUCGUCGUGUAGCGGUGAAAUGCUUAGAUAUGACGAAGAACUCCGAUUGCGAAGGCAGCUGACGGGAGCGCAACUGACGCUUAAGCUCGAAGGUGCGGGUAUCAAACAGGAUUAGAUACCCUGGUAGUCCGCACAGUAAACGAUGGAUGCCCGCUGUUGGUACCUGGUAUCAGCGGCUAAGCGAAAGCAUUAAGCAUCCCACCUGGGGAGUACGCCGGCGGU
rnacentral:rRNA from 1 species